CUCUCUCUCUCUCUCUCUCUCUUGCAGAAGGACUACAAGAAGACUUCAACAAGGGAGUAAGAAAAAACAAGGAGAAACAGUUACUGAAGAACCAUCAAAAUCUUUUCCCUAUUAGCGACAAACAACUUGUUUUAUUUGAGUCUCAUAACAGCGGGAUCAAGAUGUUACGAGUAUGUUGUCGAAGACAGCACCAUCGCAUAAAUUCCCACGAAAUGCUGAACAUAGGCUAUAAUGGUUCAAGAAUUUGAAAAUGGAGCCAGUGGAGGGACCUGAGGAGAAAAA